rnacentral:rRNA from 1 species
GCUACGGGAGGCAGCAGUGAGGAAUAUUGGUCAAUGGCCGAGAGGCUGAACCAGCCAAGUCGCGUGAGGGAAGACGGCCCUACGGGUUGUAAACCUCUUUUGUCGGGGAGCAAAGCGAACCACGUGUGGUUCAUUGAGAGUACCCGAAGAAAAAGCAUCGGCUAACUCCGUGCCAGCAGCCGCGGUAAUACGGAGGAUGCGAGCGUUAUCCGGAUUUAUUGGGUUUAAAGGGUGCGCAGGCGGAGGUGCAAGUCAGCGGUCAAAUUGCGGGGCUCACCCCCGUACUGCCGUUGAUAAUGCAUCCCUUGAGGGCGCGAGAAGUAUGCGGAAGGAGUGGUGUAGCGGUGAAAUGCAUAGAGAUCACGCAGAACUCCGAUUGCGAAGGCAGCAUACCGGCGCGCAACUGACGCUCAUGCACGAAAGCGUGGGUAUCGAACAGGAUUAGAUACCCUUGUAGUC